rnacentral:snoRNA from 1 species
AGAACAGUGUCAAAAUACCUUUUCUAAAGACCACACUCCACAAUGGGCUAUAGCACUUACAUAGCUCACUAUUAUUACGUGGCCUACAUU